CCAAUAGCGUAUAUUAAAGUUGUUGCAGUUAAAAAGCUCGUAGUUGAAUUUCGGGAUCAAAGAAUCGGUCAUGCCUUGGUAUGUACUGGUUUUAUUGGUUCUCACUUUCUAAAGAACCAUAAUGUCAUUUAUUUGAUGUUAUGGGGAAUUAGGACUGUUACCUUGAAAAAAUUAGAGUGUUUAAAGCAAGCUUACGCUUGAAUACAUUAGCAUGGAAUAAUGAAAUAGGACGUUCGAUCCUAUUUUGUUGGUUUCUAGGAUUGACGUAAUGAUUAAUAG
rnacentral:rRNA from 1 species